AUCGAUUGUGCAAAUAAGGAAAAAGAGUCUCCAGCAAAAUUACUAUUUAUGGCCCAACUCAACAGUAAAUAAUUUAUAUGAAAUCUUGUGUCCGACUGGCUGAUACUUAAAUCGUUGUUAAAGACAACCAGAACCAAGAUGUCAAAAACACAGUUAUUAUUAUUAUCAAUUUUCUUGAUGAUUGGUCUCUAUACUAGUGCAGUUAAAGGAUGUAAGGGCCAAUGGUGUGACCUCUGCGGAUUUUGUUCAAAUUUUGUGGAGUGAUUCUCUACAUCAGAAUGAAGAGUUGAGCUCUUAAUAUUAAGUAGUUUCGAAGCGAUAAUUUUUUUGAAUUUUUACGGUUUUGUUUUUUUUUAACUUUUUCAUUAAUUUUUUUUUAUAGUAAAAACAUUUUCUAUAAAAAUACAAGCUCUACAUUGUUUUUCUAAAAAAUUCUCUGCUUUUCGAUAAAAAUAUUCAUUUUUCAUUAUAAGUAACGGAAAACCCUUAAAACUUUAAUUAAAAUGAAAAAAGUGAUUUUUUAGGCCUUGCGCGAUUUUUACUUCAAAUUUGAUAUUUUUGUCUGAAAACUGAGAAUUUUAUACAAAAAAUAUGUCAUUUUGGCGAUGGGCUUAUUUUUUGUUUGGACGUAAAUGCAUUAUAAAAUAAUUAAAUUGAUUUUAUGAUGUUCUUUAAACGGUAAAAUAGUUUUACACAAAUUUUCCAAGUUUCGACAUUUGAAUUUAUCGUCAAAAAAAUCGCAUAAAAUACUUUAUUGUAUAUCUAGAGAGUGAUGCUGUUUUACUGUAAAUUAUACUUUUUAAAAACUCGGUACUUACUGAUACGCCUACAGAUUAAUUCAUAUAAAUAAACUUUACGUUCAAACAAAAAAUAACCCCAUCGCCAAAAUGACACAUUUAUUGUGAAAAAUUCUCAGCCCUGAGAAAAUAAUAUAAAAUUGAAAGUAAAAAUUGUCGCAAGGCCAGAAAAUCACUUUUUUCACUUGAAUUAAAGUUUUGGCCCUUAUUUUAUUGAGACCACAAUUUAAUUAAUAAAAUAAGUGUACCUAUUACAAUAUAUUUGUUUAGUAUUGUAAUACAGCAUAAUAAUUAUUCGAAUGAGCAUAAUAAUUUUUUAGAUGCUUCACUUUCUGUUUCAAGUUUAGUCGACAUCAUAAUAAAGAUUAGUAGAUUCCGAGCCAAUAUUUUUCUCCCUGUACCACGACGUCGUACUACUUUAUUCGCGUCACACAACGCUAGAAUAUUGAAGUUUAUACAAAACCUUAAGUCAAAAAAAAAGAGGUUCAAAUCAUCUUUUUAGAAUAUGAAGAUCCAUGUGUUAAAAAGGUGAUUUGAACCUAAACGUGGUAACUUUGUCCGAUUUUACAAAGUUUAGGUUCAAAUCAUCUUUUUAAAAAGGUAAAAUAAGCCUCCAGAGCCUAAAUUUAUAGAUCGAGAAAGACUCUCAUCAGAUCACGUACAAUUGGUAAAGAAACAGAAAGGAAAAGGGGGCCACUAAUUAGAAAUGGGCACCAUGAUCUAGAAAAAUGUGAAAUUUAAAAAGUUCCAAAAAUAAUUUCUUAGUAAUAAAUGUUUUGUUGUAAAUUAAAAAAUAAUAAAAUUUAAAAUAUGUAGUAAUGGAAAAUAAGAGUAAGGGACAUGUGUGAUGUUUACAAUAUUAAUUAAUUAAUGUAACGGGACCUAAGUCCACCUCCUCCGCGGAAGCCGUUUCCUCGCUCUUUUGGGCAUACACGCGCUGCGAAAUCCCCAUCUUCUACGCUUUAAGCGACACUCUCGGCCGAAACCAAGAGUGGACAUUUACCGGAGAUAUAAUCAAAAAUCCUCAUUGCGUGUGGUAUCUAACCACAACCACCACGAGUCCUACCUCACUCGGGCCCCCCACUCCUUCCAUCUCAGGAAAUAAAGAGACUAUGGUCGAAAUGGGGCUUGGAAUGGGGCCCCCAUGGUACCAAUUCCCUGUAUUGGUCUACAGGCUGCAGAUAAGCGGUGAGUUGCAGCAUUACUCAUGAUCCUAAAAAGGGUUUCUUCCGCAUUAUCCCACUUGGAUCUAGGACGGUAACUAUUAAAAGAUUGCCCUCUACCGUCAUCACCAAGUAAAUAUCAUUUGCUAACUAUAGCUUGUGAUAGUAUUGUGUACGGGCUAGUAUACCUUAGAAUUUUAAGACAGUCAAAAGGGUAGGUCUUGCCCGCGCAGCAGUACCUGUUGGUUUCCUGCAACCACGGAGUUGCCACACGUUACAAGGUGAAAAACAUGUGGGCACCGCUAACGGUUGGAGUAAUCACGGCAUAACCCACGAGAAGGGCGGUGCUUGCUUAGUCUUGGGUGUCCAUAUUAGGACACUUAGACCACUAAUGCCGAUGUUUACAAUAUAUUUAAGUUUAUUUAAAUUAGAAAAAACACAAAACGUUGUAAUGGUUUACAAAAAUGGAAAGGUCUAGACACGUCUUACCCAAUUGCUGGUUGAAAACCUUCUGCUUGACCCAGGUCAACCCUCAUUCAUCCUUUCAUCCUGCACUCUUGCACUCUGUACCUCCGCCCCCACUCUCUGUCUUGACAAUCCCAAGACGCAUAUCUUAGGUCUAACACACUUUCUCUCUUACACGCACAUUUUAUUUCUCUAAACGUAACUUAAAGUUCUUACAUCCUAAAUAUCAAAACUCAUAACUUGUAUUAUCUUAAAAGGAAACUUAGACAGGAACCUUCAGAAAAACGAGCAUACCCUUUUUUUUUAUACUACACUCGGCCAUCCUGCAGCAAAAUCUGCCCUCAGAUGUUAUUUUUUUUCGUUUCCGCUGUCGUCGGUGUGGUCAUCUUCGGGGUUUAUGACCCAAGGUUUCAUGAAAUCAGCGGCGGUAGAUAUUUGUUGAGGCCCCUCAUGCUCCCCAACUUUCUCCACAGUGUAGCGGUCGUUGCGCAUUACACGUAAAACACGGUAUGGUCCCAAAAAUUUCCCACGAAGUUUUAAGCCUGGACCGAACUGUGUUCUUUUUAUAGCCACUAAAUCUCCGCUCUGGUAUUGCUUUGAACCCUUGCUUCCUUUGUUGUAAGUUUUACGAUUUUGCUCUUGAGUUUCAGUGAUUUUCUUCCUUGCCUCUUCACGCAGCUCGCAACGCUGCUCCUCGAAUCUCGCCGCCCACUCUUCGUCGAUUAAUCGUCUGACCUGCGUAUCCUCUUUAGUUCGCAUCUCGAUUCCAAUAAGCAACUGAAACGGAGUUUUUCCAGUGCUUCUACUUAUUGUGGAAUUUAAAUACUUUUGAACUUGGUCGACAUGCUUGUACCACUCUUCUGACUUAGGAGCGGUCAGUUUAGUUAACAAUGGUAUGAGUGUUCUGUUGACCCUCUCUACCUGUCCAUUGCCCCUCGGUACUCCUGUCGUUAUUAGUGAGUGUAUGAUGUUCUCCUCUUCACAAUACUCGCGGAAAGCGUGAGACGUGAACGCGGUUCCUCGAUCAGAAAUUAUUCGGCGUAGAUUUCCAAAAAUGGCCGCUUGUUUCUUAAUCCGAUCAAGUACAUCCUCAGCAUCGGUGAUUUGGUGGGGUAAAGCCAUGUAAACUUUGUAAAUGCGUCGACUACUACGAAAAUAUGCACCCUGAUUAAAAAAGUGAAUUGAAAAGUAUUGAAAAUUAUUUCAAUUCUUUUCAGUCCCUCGGCGGUUUUGGAAAGUAUUGAAUGGAAUUGAAAUUUCGAUCGUUUGAAUACUUUCCAAUUCCAAAGUGGAAUUCUAAAGUAUUGAAAAGAAUUUAGGUAUUGAGAAGGAUUCAGAAAGAUUCAAAAAUUUCAAUUCAUUUCAAUCUUUUUUAAUCCCACACAUGACCCGAAAUGUGAAAUUAUUUAGGUAUUGAGAAGGAUUCAGAAAGAUUCAAAAAUUUCAAUUCAUUUCAAUCUUUUUCAAUCCCACACAUGACCCGAAAUGUGAAAUUAUUUAGGUAUUGAGAAGGAUUCAGAAAGAUUCAAAAAUUUCAAUUCAUUUCAAUCUUUUUCAAUCCCACACUUGAUCCGAAAUAUCGGAUUAUUUAGGUAUUGAGAAGGAUUCGGAAAGAUUCAAAAAUUUCAAUUCAUUUCAAUCUUUUUCAAUCCCACACAUGACCCGAAAUGUGAAAUUAUUUAGGUAUUGAGAAGGAUUCGGAAAGAUUCAAAAAUUUCAAUUCAUUUCAAUCUUUUUCAAUCCCACACUUGACCCGAAAUGCGAACUUAUUUAGGUAUUGAGAAGGAUUCAGAAAGAUUCAAAAAUUUCAAUUCAUUUCAAUCUUUUUCAAUCCCACACUUGAUUCGAAAUGUCGGAUUAUUUAGGUAUUGAGAAAGAUUCGGAAAGAUUCAAAAAUUUCAAUUCAAUUCAAUCUCUUUCAAUCCCACACUUGAUCCGAAAUGUCGGAUUAUUUAGGUAUUGAGAAGGAUUCAAAAAGAUUAAAAAUAUCAAUUCAUUUGAAUCUUUUUCAAUUCCUCGGAAGUUCAGAAAUUCUUUUAUUAUUUUGGGAUUGAAAAGUAUUCAUUUUAUGUCAAAAUGAAUACCUUGGGGUAUAGAAAGUAUUCGAAAGGAUUCAUUUCUCAUCGUUUUCAAUACUUUUCAAUUCACUUUUUUAAUCAGGGGCACGUAUCUUUUUUUCGUACACGGAGAGAAAUGAAGCUCAAUAUAAACAAAAAUACUGUCCGAUUUUCGAUUUCUACUAGAUCUGUUUAGAAAAUCAUAAAUUAUGAUAAUUUUUAUGAAAAAUUAGUAGAAAGUAAUAGAUACGCAAAAAAAAAAUAUUAGAGAAGCACAAUGAUUUUUGAAGUCUUUGAUUUUUAAUAACCAACAAAUAUAAAAUAUGUUAUGCUAUGAAAGUAAUAUCAAAAUAAAUCUUGAAAUUUUAUGAAAUGAGAGUAAAGUUUUGAUAAACGUUUGCUAUUAAUCGAAAUGUAAAUAAAAAUUAUUAUGUAUUAUAUAUUAUAGUUUUUAAAUUAUGGAUUUGUAAAUUUUUUACAAUUUUGUAUCCA